CUCUUGUCCAAGAUGGCGACCGCGGCGCUGCUUCGAGGCGCCACUCCGGGGCGCGGCGGCCCGGUCUGGCGCUGGCGGCUGCGCGCGGCCCCAAGGUGCCGCCUGGCCCACAGCUCCUGCAGUCCUGGUGGCGACCCAACGGCCGGAGCGGCCUGGGCCUGCUUCCGGCUGGACGGGCGCACCCUGCUGCGCGUGCGUGGCCCCGACGCGGCGCCCUUCCUGCUAGGGCUGCUGACCAAUGAACUGCCGCUUCCGAGUCCU
rnacentral:lncRNA from 1 species